ACCGAGCUUAGUAACGUGGGCUUGUAACCCAAGUGGGGGUAUUGAGGUGAUGGAACCAAACAAUGGAAAACUAAUUUAAAAAAAAAAAAGUGUACUACAGAAAAAAUCUUUCUCUCA
rnacentral:SRP_RNA from 1 species